AAGCUCUGAAUCUUGUGAAUAGGCCAAAAAGUCACUUCCACAAACAUUUAUAGAGAACUUAUUAAAAUUAAGUCAAUGGUGUGAGAUUCAAAAAUGAAAAGUGAAGUAUACCUUCAAGAAAUAUACAAUAUUCACUGUAACAGUGUAGAAUAAGCUAGUGCAGUUAAAGCAUAAACAAAAUGUUCAGGAAAACUAGAGUGAGGACUGAUGAGGAGAAGUAAGAGCUUGAUGGAAUAAAUGUUAAAUAAUGUGAAUUUUUAAUAAUGAAUUAAAUUUAGGUAGGCAAAGAAGAGAGGAAUUUACUGUAGGCACAAGUUUGUAUGGAGAUUAAAAAAAAGUAGUCCCUAUGCACAAAACCAAGGUCAAAACUAGCAAUAUGGUGAAUAGAAUUUUGCUCACCAAUGUUGAGUCUAACAAGGAUUAGACAUUCCCAUCUCCUCAGCUUUGUUUUUCUCCAUAACACAUUUUAUACAUUCAUAUAUUGGGUAACUUAAUACAGUCAUAUUUAUUGCCCAACUCUCAGAGACAGAGUGCUAGCUGUGCACACACACAUUUCCUAUUCUUGCUUGAUUUAUAGCUAAAUACAUUUUCUAUUCUCCCUUCUAAUUAGGUAUAUCCAUGUGAAUGAGGUUUAGCUGUAGUCACCCUUGGUGUGUGUGGGGAUCCCAGAAAACACAUUUUGUAGGUCCCUCAACUGUUUAAGAAAUUUGAUCAAAAAUGUAUUACAGAAGUUAUGCACUCAGUGAGUUAUAGUCAGUGAAAUUUAGAAUUAGCAGUGAAAAUUUAAUUGAGAACACGUACUUAUGUAUUGAUUUAUCAUCCAAUACAUGAAAAUGUUCUCUAUAUCAUCCGUUAACCAUGUCUUCCUAUUCAUGUGAAGGAAUUUCUCUGGGUUUCUUAUUAUCAAACACACCAUUUCUGGCUAAUUUCUUAUUUCCCACUGUGAGAAAAAGAUAGCAAUGCUGUUAUUACUCACAAUGCCAUGAAUUUCUGGAACUGCGUUAUAUUUAAACCAUAUACAUCCUCUUGCCUCUGCAGGUCUCUAAUAACAUUUAUUUAACGCUGGUUGCAUCGUUGCUCAAGACAUUUCAUCAUCCAUCAUGCUGCCCAAGACUACCAGCUUUCAAUGACUUUCUCAGAGAUUCUUAUUCUGCUUUACUGAUGAUGACCACAAAUGCAAGAAUUAUCCAGCGUGCAGGAUAGUAUGAAAGAUGAUUCAUUUUCUGAUCAUUUAAGAGUUAUUAUUUGGAAAGCACAAUGGCACAUCUUUCAACCAUAUCUCAUCUGGAACUCUUUAGGCAAAAAAAUCACUGUAUUUCUAGAAUGCGAUCUCUUUCAAUGUUGAUUGCAUAGCUGCCUUCUACACACUGCCACUGUUGGAAAAGAUAGAGAUGGGGCCUUUAGAUGGACCAAAAAAGACAGUUACAGUCAUACAAGAAAUGACUGUCUGUCCUCUGACUUGGAUGAGCACUACACCACUGCACCUAUUGGAGAUAAAAAUAUACUAUUCAGAGGUCCCUGUGGCAUUGUGAAGCAAUAAUCUAAAAGUCCUUUGGAAGAGAUAGGUGUAGCCACAAAUGGAGGAUGGCCCGAUGCAUGAUGUUCUUGGAGUCUUUGGCUGGAAGGCACAAAGACAACAUUUACAAGGUAGAUAUUUUAUUCAUUUAUAGAAUAUGAACAUUUUUAAUAUUGAUUCAAUACAUCUUGGCUAUUUGAAGGCUUUUAAAAGUGUUGUCUAGAGUCACUACAAUCUGUCUCAAAGACAGUAAAAUACAUGAACAAAAAUGUCUGUAGUUGAAUCUAAUUCUCUAAGCUAACAGCAGGUUUAUAUGCAAUUUUGCAUGUGAUAUUACUGUUAUUCAUUACACUUCUGUUAUAAAUAAGAGAGAUUAUUCAUUCUUUGACUUGGUGGGGGCUGGUUUUCCUGAGGUAUUUGUUCCCCUUUUGUUUCUUCAGAUUUAUGAGCCUGGCAAGCCUUCUCUGUCUGCUGCUGAAAAGACUAUUGUGCCCAUGUACACACAGUCCCAGCAAAUAAUUUAUUUCAGACCUCUGAGAACAUUCUUUUCCUCACUCUCAAAACAGGGAUUUUUCAUUUCAGUCAUCAGUCCCAAUCUUAGCAGUGAUUCCACAAAGUCAGUAUUCAUUUUCAAUAAAGAAAGAAAGAAAAAGCUAUACCUGAGAAUGCUGUGACAUAGAAAAAUGGAACAAUGGUGAAAAUGGUCCUGGAUUUUAUGCCACCAUCAGAAAAAUUUUGGUCAGGCAUAAAGUCUUAAUUUUUAAAUACUUUAUUUUCCUCCUUUAUUUUCUGGUUCUUUCAUCCUUACCUCAAAUAUUAGAAAAAAUAAAUCUAUUUCAGUUUAGCAACAAAACGUUUGAUUGGGAGGUAAUGAUUUAAUUAAUUCAAAGAAUGAUUUUAUUUUGGCUGCAAGGAUUAUUCUUUCUCUUGACUUAUUUGGAUGAUUAUCUGAUCAGUUUUUCUAGAGACAUAACUUUGUUGAUAGAAUUAUAUUAUUAUUUCUCCAUUUUCUUUUGUAAUUUUUAUAAUUAUGUCUUAGAUUUUAUAAGAUUUAUAAGAUCCUAUUAUCUAUUAAUUUUACUCAUAACAAAAUUUUCCAAUCCGUGUGUAAUUACUUAUAUUGUAACAUCACUAUGUUAUAAGGCUAUGUGAGGCUUUGGGAAUUUGUGUAGCUCAUUUUCUUAGGUACAGAAAAAACUGUGGCUACAACUGUCCCUAAAAUUAGUCUUUCUUAAAAUUCCCUAAAAAGGAAGAUGUUUCUUCAGCCUCUCACUCUGAAAAAAGACCUGACUUUUAAAGAAAUGACCAAAGAGACCUUGACUAUAAUGCAUAACAACUUGACAAAGGUAUAUUUUGUCUAUCAGCAGUUAAGAUUGUUUAACUUAGCAACUUCGUUGCUUUGGGAUAGCUUGAUGGAAACUUAGAAGCAUUCAAUUUAUUCAU
rnacentral:lncRNA from 1 species